GGGAAAUAUGUAUGAGGCAUUCGUGGACUUGCAUAGCAGUUGAGGUGGGGAGCUAGGUGUGUAAAGAACAUGUAAUAUACUCUGAAGUUGGAAACCAUAACUUUGGAGUGCUGGAAGGGCUGAAGAAGGAAGGAUGGGCUUUGUGGUAGUGUCAUACUGAAACUGGUGGAAAUUGUGGUCGAUAAUUCAUUGGAAACAAAGGCUGAUGGAUGUAAGAACCACAACAGGAAGGAGAUCAGCUUUGAACGUUUAUUCACUGAUUCAUCUGUGGGAGAGAGGGAAGGAGUCAAAAGUUAUGAUCCAGAAUAUCCCAGAGCACGUUGAGUAUAAAAUCAAAUCAUUUAGGAAUGGGUCAGUACUGAAGAAACAGUUUCUUCCUUCCUGAUUUGCUUGAUGAGACUACUUGCCUUGAUUUUAACUUAUGAAAUGUCAAAAAUAGCAUGGGAUUUAGGCACAAGAUCCCCACUGCAAUUAUUUAUCCUUGUCUUGGGUUGAAAUUACAAUCCUGGUGCCCUGUGUGCUAUUAUAGAGAUGUAAACAUAAAGUUACUUACCCACUGAGAAGCUGGCAUUGCUCAUGUUACUGACUUCCUCUAAAUAAACCUUACCAUCGUCUGGUUGAUCUGGGAGAGAGCAGAAUUGGUGACAGCAUUACGUCUCAGUUACAAUCCUGUUGCAUUGUGCACCAAAUCAAUAAUCCUGCUGGAUUGUCUACCUUUUGAGAAGGUGAUGCUGUUUGCAUUGCUGAUAUCCUCUUGGUGCUGCUUACUCUCUGUAGGCUGUUUCAUUGUACAAUCUAUUUCAGAUGCAGCUGCUGGAGAAGAAAUACAAUAGAUUGUUUUGGGAUUCUGCUGGUUAUGUGAUGAUACUUGUAGUCUCUUCUUGCAUCUAAUCCCUUCCCUUAAUGUGAAGAUAUUGGUAAAUAUUGACUGUCAGUUUAUAACUUCCAUCAUCUGAUUUUAAUACCUGAGAACUUUUGUAGACUAAAAUUGUUUUAAAAAGACAAACAGUAACCUAAACUAGCUGCAACAAUUAGUUGUUCACAGAAUAAACACAA